CUGCAUUUAUUUGAUCAAAAUAACAGAAAAAAAAAUGAAUGAACAGCUCUCUUCUACCCUCAAUACCCAUGAGUGAAGUGGCCUCGAGCAAGGCACUGAACCCCCAGUUGCUCCCCGGGCGCUGGAUCUAUAGCUGCCCACUGCUCUGGGUGUGUGUUCACAGCAUGUUCACCACUUACUGCUGUGUGUGUGUGCACUUGAACGGGUAAAAUGCAGAACACCAAUUCUGAGAAUAGGUUACUAUACUUGGCAAAUGUCACGACUUUCACUUUCACUUUCUAUUUUAAUAUACUUUCAAAUAUAAUCCAUUCCUGUGAAGCAAAGUUGAAUAUUCAGCAUACUCCAGACUUUGGUGUCACAUGAUCCUUCAGAAAUCUGUCUAAUAUGCUGAUUGAUAAUCAAUGCUGGAAAAAAGUAGAUUUUUAUUUUUGGAUUCUUUAAAAUCCUGUUAAAAAGUUAAAGUUAAAAAGAACAGUAGUUAUUUAAAAUAAAAAACUAAACAAAAAUUAUCUCUCUUAGAAUACUUUUAUUCGACAAGGACGCGUUAAAUGGAUCAAAAAUGACAUUGUUAGAAAAUAUUUAUAUUUUGAAUAAAUUCUGCUCUUUUUAACUUUUAAUUUUAUUUAUGGAACCUAGGUUCCAAAAAAUAUUAAGCAGCACAACAGGUUCAGCACUGAUAAUAAAUCAGAAUAAGAAUGAUUUCUAAAGGAUCAUGGGACACUGAGGACUGGAGUAAUAUGAUAUGAAUAUUAUAUGAUAAUUAUUAGAAAUUGCAAUAAUUUCAUAAUAGUACCGUUUUUUUCUGUAUUUUUGAUCAAAUAAAUACAGCAUUGAUGAGCAUAAGAGACUCCACCUUUUAAUUCUUUAAUAGACAGAGGAACAAAGGAGUUCUUAUAAAGGUUAAGUCUACACUAAGGAAUUCUGAAGCGUCUUCCCAAAGGAAGUUGGUAUUCAGAGUGAAGGACAUGAGUGGGGUCUGAAAUAAUAAUUAUUAUGUCUAAUAAAUUUCUCAUCAAAAAGAGUCUAAAGUGUGGGAUGCUGCUUAACUUCUAUAAUUUGUAUAUGGCUCUCUGUGUUAGCGGAGUAACCUGAUUUUUCUAAUGUUCACUGAGAUUGCCGAACCAGGCAAUCUGAACCUCAUGUUUGUAAGUAACAACAUCUGAUGUUCCAGAUAUGAGAAUGAGACCUAAAAUAGCUGUAUUAUCAGAGAACUUAAUCAUGUAAUUAUUAACAGUACUGCAUUUGCAUUCAUUAGUGUAUGAUGUGAACAGAACUGGAGAACUGACAUACCCCUGUGGGGCGCCAGUGCUGAUAAUCAUAGAUUCAGACAACGUCCUUUUCACCCUGACCUGCUGACUACGAUUGGAAAGAAAUGAGCGGAACCCCUUAAUAAUAAAUGGGAUGACAUUCAUCUGCUGCAGUGUUUUUUUUUUUUUUUUUUUUUAAAGAAUGUGAGUUAUAGGCUGAACUAAAAUCUACAAACAACAGUCAAGCAUAAGCCCUGGGAUUCUCAAGAUAUUUAGUCACUAUGUGCACUAAACUGUUGAUUGCAUCGUCAGUGCCUCUCAGAUGUUUAUAUGGAAAACUGAUGGGCAUCUAAAUGUGGACCUACUUCCUGUUUUAAUUAACUUUGUGUAUUUACUAACAGUAGUGCUUGACUUCGUUAACAAAAAUGGAAUGAAAUGUCAUUAAAAAAUUAGAAAUUUAGAAAUGUCUAAAUGCGUGUUACAAAGUGUGUGAAUGAUUCAUCCUUGAUUUCUUACAAAAACAUUUUUUUACAUCGUAUGUUUAAUCAAAAUAAACCUGCCCCCUACAGCAAGCUCACAUUUAUCUGCCAAGACUUUUGAAGACUACUCCCACAUCUCAACAUCCAAUGAACAACAACUAAAUAGAACCAAGUCCAUCCCCACCAUUUUUUAAUAGUCGUCUUGGAUGUGCAUCACCAUACCGAAGAAAAGAUCAGUCGCUGUUCAGCCCACUUUGCAGCUUAUUUUGUAUGAGAACAAUCUACAUAAACACACAGACACUGUUCAACAGACAGGUAAAGGGACCAAUAACGGUUCAUUUUGUUUACAUGCUGGGUAGGGAUGGUAGAUUUGUGUGUAACUAAAGAAAUGAACCAGUGUGGGCAAAACACAUUCAAACACUUCAGUAGUCUCUGCGUAUUUGUAUGUACGGAACUUGUGCUCUCAUUUCCAGGAAAAUGAUAAGUCAAGUAACAAUGUGUACAAGAAAUAAAGGGAGGGGUUCUUAUUUCGACAAUGACACACACUUGCAAGAGCCUUGCUUCCUGUCACAACUUGUUGUUGACUGCAAGCUAUAACCAUACAAGAGUUGUUAUAGCUAUGAAAAACCCAUUUUUCAGGAAACAGCAGUAUAUAUUUACAUAUAUAUGAUCAAAUUAGGGGUAAAGAAAAGUACAAAAUUUGAUAUGAAAUUAUUAUGCUAUUCAAAUCACACUAAAAUAAAUGAAUAUAGCUCACAUGCAAAAAUUAUAUCAGAGAGUAACUGUGGUUUCCUGUAACAUUUUUCACCGCCACAAGCAAAUGAAUAUUAUAUGUAUAUGUUGAGCAUAAAACAUUUGAGGUAUGCAAUACUGAUAACUUUAAAACAAGUUGUAGCAAAGAACAUUGUUUGGAAGAACAUGAAAAUGUUAGUGAUACAAAAAAAAUACAAAAAAAAAGUUGCUCUUUUAUGUGGAUAGAGGCACAAUAAUUGAACUUUGUUUACAAAAAAAGUCAGUUUAGCAAUGAAAUAUCAAAACAUGAGGGCUAUGUCCGCCCAUAAAUUUGGAUUAGGUAAAAAUCGAAAUGAUCACACAACAUUUCUUCCAUGUUUUAAUUGUAAUAGUAAAUCCCCAUUGUUUGCCAAAAAAAAUAAAGUUUGCUUCAUUUUCAAAUAUCUGCAGUUUAAUUUAACUUUAACUCAUUAAAUAUAGAAUAACUGUAAAGUCACCAAAACUAUAAGGUAAAACAUUCUGACGUAUGAGAAUCAUUGGCAAAUGUUUAACCAAACAUGCUGGAAUGCUUUUUAUACAGUAUUGAAGGAGUUCACACACUUCUUGACUGCUUUUCCUAUAAGUAACCCCUCCAAUUUAUUUAUUUCAUGAUGAUAAUUAAAGAAGAAAAGACCACAUGUAAGUUUAGGAAGUUGCUUCAUUCUGUAAUCCAGUUGCUUGGUUACUUAUAAAAGUACACUAUCAGUAGCAGUGAAUAGGCUAAUGUUCAUCGGAACUUACAGUUACUCAUACCAUGUGUUUGCAAAGCAGUUGCUAUAGCUAAUCCUGACUUUAUUUUAGAAAUGACGCUACAUACUCAUUUGAGUAUGACAAACACAUCACACUUUCAUUAAGAUAAUAUUCAAACUGAAACUUUAUGUAAAAAGAAACCUCAUAAAAAUGAAAAUCUGUAGAGCAGAUGAUUUCUUUAACCCAUCUAUUGAAUUCACACAGCCUUUGUUAACUGAGGUGGUUUUAAGUUACUUAACAGUUUCUCCUUUGCAAAGCAAACAAGGUGUGAGACUGAACAAAACUCCCAUCGGUAUUGUGUAUCAGCCUUUUUUUUCCCCGGUUUAUCUAGAUUUAUACAAGAAUAUGGUCAGACAUUUUUUGAAUGGCCCACUGAGUUUAAAAGAUACAAAUUUGAAAUACUGUUAGAUAACUGCGGCUGUAGCCACACAAAGGGCAAAACAUGACGUAAGAAAAUGACAUAUAUUUCAGCAAUUAAAUCACUUUUGUGGCAAGUUUUUAGUUCUCUAUCCCAACGUAACUGUCUGAGACAAGUCUUUUCUCAGAUAAGAUCUUUUCUUUUCAUUUAGUUAUAGUCUCAUUUACAUUUGUGACAAAAAUUUGGUUGACAAAAACUAUGGUGGAAAUUAUGUCAAUUAAAUUAUCACUAUGUAUGUGUGGGUGUGUUUGUGUGGGUGUCUGUGUCUGUGUCUGUGUGUGUGUGUUUGUAUUAUAGCUAUAUACAGCCCGUUCUCACCGCCAGAGACAGGGUGACAAUCCCAUUCAUUUUCAAUGGAGAGCUGGCGUUUUCCGGCGACACGAGUGACAGUGACUUUUGGGGAAGGACAUGGCGAUCUUUCUGACAGUGGAGGAGAAGGGUGCAGGACUGUUCCUGCUCACUGGGCCUGAGGAUAUGGUCACUGAAGUGGGACCUUGGGUGUCAGAGUUUCGCAGGGUAAAGAAGCAGAAAAGGCUGGAUGUUACCAGGGUAAAGCCAACAGUCUGGUGAAGAGAGCAGAAGCUGAGGAUUUACUGAGGGAGCACAUCUGCAAACUCACUGCAGGAGAAGAAUAAUAUGACCACAUACAGUCGUGAUGAUUCAUGAUGAUCCAGAUCAGAACUAGACUGCUUUGUUGCAGUUUAUACUCUAAGUGCACAAUACGUUGCAACACAUCACGAUGCACCUUCAGUUGAUAGAGGCUCCAUUUCUGUUUUUGGUGCACUACAUAGCUACUCCAUAUAUAUAUAUAUAUAUAUAUAUAUAUAUAUAUAUAUAUA